GGAGAGAGAAUAAACAUUGCGAAAGUUGAGCUAUAUGAGGGUAGCACCUCGCCUCCAGAUUACCUCAGCGAGAGUGAGCUGAUAUCUCUAAUGGAAAAGCAUGGAAUAGGAACGGAUGCUUCAAUUUCUGUACAUAUAAACAACAUAUGCGAGCGUAACUAUGUGCAGGUCAACUCUGGAAGGAGACUGGUUCCCACUGUCCUUGGAACCACUUUGAUAAGAGGGUACCAAUGCAUUGAUCCAGACCUUUGCUUGCCAGACAUUCGUAGCUUUAUAGAGCAGCAAAUCACACUGAUUGCUAAAGGUCAAGCAGAUCAUGUUCGUGUUGUGCAACAUGUUCUUCAACAGUUUACUCAGAAAUACUCUUAUUUUGUUAAGCAGAUUGAAAACAUGGAUGCGCUUUUUGAAGCACAAUUUUCGCCUUUAGCAGAUUCUGGACGUCUACUUAGCAAAUGCGGUAAAUGUACACGGUACAUGAAAUACAUAUCCAGUCAACCAACAAGGUUGUAUUGUAUCACUUGUGAGGAGGUCUAUCAUCUACCUCAAAAUGGAACCAUCAAGCUUUACAAGGAAAUCACAUGUCCUUUGGAUGGCUUUGAGCUCCUCCUCUUCUCCAUGGCUGGCCCAGAUGGAAAGUGUUUCCCACUCUGCCCCUAUUGUUACAAUAGCCCUCCAUUUGAAGGGAUCGAUAAAGUCUUUGGUGCCCUAAAAUUCAGUAGUGCAGGCAAACUAGGCAAAGGUGCUGGAAUGCCCUGCUUCCUUUGCCCGCACCCAACUUGCCGCCAUUCUUUGAUAGCACAAGGUGUUUGUGCUUGCCCCGAGUGCAGUGGGACCCUUGUCCUUGACCCUGUAAGUGCACCCAAAUGGAGGCUCUACUGCAAUGUGUGCAAUUGUAUUGUUUCUCUUCCUCAGGGUGCACAUAGGAUCUCCACAACGGGUAAAAGGUGCCCGGACUGUGAUUCGACCAUAAUUGAAGUGGACUUCAACAAGAAGACAACUCCACUAAGUGAUGGAACUACUCUCUAUGAGGGAUGUAUUCUAUGUGAUGAGCUAUUACAUUCUCUUGUGGAAAUGAAGCAUGGGAAGUCAUUCUUUAGGCGUGGACGAGGUAGGGGAAGAGGAAGAGGUCGCGGCAGAGGAGGCCGCAGGGGUAGAGGAAGGGGUAAACAUGAAGACCCAAAAAUGAGUUUCCGAGAUUUCUGAAGUAAAAAAACAAAGUUUCUGCUUAUUUACCACAGGAAACACGAUAAAAGGGGUGGAAUCAUUCAUGCCAGAAGUCCUAAUCAUGAUCAGUGUAAAAAUCAAAGAUUAACGCUUCUUCACUGUAUGCUACCUCUGUUCUUACUGUGUACAACACCCGUAUCUCUGUUGGUUCUCCUUCACAUCCAAUUUCAUCCCUUGAAGCGAAGACUUGAUCACCAACGGCGGCGGUUCCUCACUUCCCUGAAG